CACGUAGGGCGCAAGCGUUGUCCGGAAUUAUUGGGCGUAAAGAGCUCGUAGGCGGUUUGUCGCGUCUGCUGUGAAAUCCCGAGGCUCAACCUCGGGCCUGCAGUGGGUACGGGCAGACUAGAGUGCGGUAGGGGAGAUUGGAAUUCCUGGUGUAGCGGUGGAAUGCGCAGAUAUCAGGAGGAACACCGAUGGCGAAGGCAGAUCUCUGGGCCGUAACUGACGCUGAGAAGCGAAAGCAUGGGGAGCGAACAGG
rnacentral:rRNA from 1 species